GGCAAGGCCAGCGGCAGAGCCAUCUUUGGACUUCCCUGAUUGCCUUUGGGAAGGGAGGCAAAGACUAGAACGUUGCAGAAGCAGGAGACUCCUUGGGCUGUGUGACCUUCCUUGUCUCACAGGAUGGGUUAUGAAGCCCAUCCCUGGAAUGUGCUUCCAUGCUGGGAGCCUCAGUCCUGCUCUUGGCUCAGAGAUCAGCUACUGCCUACUUGAAAGCCGUCCAAUAGUGGCCAGUCCUGGUAGCUUUGUCCACAGAAGCCAAGGAGAGUCACCUGGUAAGAGAGAACCUCAACCUGAGAAUCAGCAAGACUGGCUUGUUGGCAUGUCUCUGAGAUUUUUACUAAAUUACUAAUCGAUGGA